UACGUAGGGUGCAAGCGUUAAUCGGAAUUACUGGGCGUAAAGCGUGCGCAGGCGGUUCGCUAAGACAGAUGUGAAAUCCCCGGGCUUAACCUGGGAACUGCAUUUGUGACUGGCGGGCUAGAGUAUGGCAGAGGGGGGUAGAAUUCCACGUGUAGCAAUGAAAUGCGUAGAGAUGUGGAGGAAUACCGAUGGCGAAGGCAGCCCCCUGGGCCAAUACUGACGCUCAUGCACGAAAGCGUGGGGAGCAAACAGG
rnacentral:rRNA from 1 species